rnacentral:rRNA from 1 species
CCUUUCAUUUUGGAGAGGUAAUGGCUCACCAAGGCUACGAUGGGUAGGGGUUCUUAGUGGAAGGUCCCCCACACUGGCACUGAGAUACGGGCCAGACUCCUACGGGAGGCAGCAGUAGGGAAUAUUGGUCAAUGGGCGCAAGCCUGAACCAGCCAUGCCGCGUGCAGGAUGAAAACUCUCUGAGUUGUAAACUGCUUUUGUACAGGAGCAAAAAAGUCCCUGCGGGGAUUCUUGAGAGUACUGUAAGAAUAAGCACCGGCUAAUUCCGUGCCAGCAGCCGCGGUAAUACGGAAGGUGCAAGCGUUAUCCGGUUUUAUUGGGUUUAAAGGGUGCGUAGGCGGCUUAUUAAGUCAGUAGUGAAAUCCUAGUGCUUAACGCUAGAACUGCAAUUGAUACUAUUAGGCUUGAGUUAAGAAGAGGUU